UACGGGGGGGGGCAAGCGUUGUUCGGAAUUACUGGGCGUAAAGCGUGCGCAGGCGGUUUGGUAAGACAGGCGUGAAAUCCCCGGGCUUAACCUGGGAAUGGCGCUUGUGACUGCCAGGCUAGAGUGCGUCAGAGGGGGGGUAGAAUUCCACGUGUAGCAGUGAAAUGCGUAGAUAUGCGGAGGAACACCGAUGGCGAAGGCAAUCCCCUGGGCCUGUAUUGACGCUCAUGCACGAAAGCGUGGGGAGCAAACAGG
rnacentral:rRNA from 1 species